ensembl:lncRNA
GAUGUGAACAAGGCAUGAAACACACCAAUGUUUACUAUAAAUGAGAACGUAUCAAGGUAUGUAAGACCAUCGUUGACUAUAAAUGAGAACGUAUCAAGGUGUGUAAGACCAUCGUUGACUAUAAAUGAGAACGUAUCAAGGUAUGUAAGACCAUCGUUGAUCAAAUGAGUAUGUAUUAAGGUUAGACAUCGUUGACUAUUAAUGACACAAAAACAUUUUCCUCGUCACAUCUUUUAUUUUCUUCCCAAUAUUUCAUAAAGAAAACCUCAACAUCUCGUUUUUCCGUCCAAUACAAACUGCCGGAGGGAACUGUCAAUACUACGAAGAGAAGUGAACUCUGUGGCUAGUGACUCCUCCGACCUCCUGAAGCAGAACAUAAGGAAC